GAGGGUAGAGCUCACUGGAAGAGCGCAUGCUCAGCAUGCUUGUGGCCCUGGGUUCAAUCCCCAGUACCUCCA
rnacentral:tRNA from 1 species